GUCAGAACACUAUAGAUACACACAUUUUUAAGAAUACACACAAUUAAAGACAAAACGUAUUCUGACAUAUUCUGGUUUAAAACGUUUAAGAACGUUUAUGUUUUUACAGUUAGCUGUGUUUUACAACUGUUGUGAUUCAUUCUUAAAUUCAGAUUCAAGAGCGUCUGAAUGAGAGGUGCGCAGAUUCAAACACGUAGGGGCGGAGCUACGCAAUGUGCUGUGGCGCGUGAGACGCAACGUGAGAAUAGCGUAAAAUACUUAUUACGACGUUGUGGUGCAGUAAAUAAACCCAAUUUGGAUUAUAAAUGGCACAUUUCUGUCAAAAGGGAUAACGGCGAAAACCAUGUUACCGUAGUAACAGCGAACUGAAGAGAAAAGAAAGAUGGCGGCGCCUGAUAGGCUACACCUAAAUUAACAAAAGUGAGUUUAAUCGAGACGCAAAUUUGACCGGAUUUUUGCUUUAUUUCAAUUUGAAUGUUAUGAAUAACAUUUUAACAAACCAAUGGAAACAGCGAGUGGAUGUUAAAGCAUCACAUGACACACCGCGCAUCUGAACAUCUCUGAGGCGCUGGAAUACAGACCUUCAAAUCUCAGCAGCAGGAUCCGUUCGGCAUUGACAAGCGUGAAAGAAGCCUUGGGCUUUUUCUUCAUGUUUGGUUCCUCUGCUAUCCACCUGCUCGUUCCCGGUUCAUUGCUGAUCUAUUUGAUACUUGAAAGGUCACGAUAUGUUGUUCGGAGAAUCAGAAGUUCAGGCUCUUGCAGCUGAGACACAACAUUUGAGAAAAAUGGACUGCCGAACGGAGGAUACAACACUUCCUGGAAGGAGCUCCAGCGUGAAUGAUCCUGAAAUCCUGCAGCGAGUCUGCAAUUUCACCUGCUGGAUGAUGAAACGGACAUAAAAUCCCACAGACUGACGCAGAAGGAUGAACGUGAGUUAUAGAGAGCAGAAUAUCACAGAUGCGCGUUUGACCUGGGACGACCUUUGGGCUUUAAGCACCACCACAGAAAUUAAAGGCGAGAUUGCAGACCGCCAAAGACUGUCUCCAGCCUCUCGCUAUGAGGUCUUUAGAAGGCGUUCCUAGCUUUGGUUGUCCUAGAAACAUUUAUAAAUGUGAAACGUGAGCUCCGCUACUCUACUCCUAUUGGUAGUCUGACUCCAUUUGCAUGAAGUUGAGCAAAUCUUAACUUUGUCGAGAUCUGAAAGGCACUGGCAGAAAUGACAUUCUGAGAACAGGAGACUGAAUUCUGCCUUGAGAGACUCGCUGACCUGUUGUGUGGGAUUGACGGCUGAUAUCUGUAUCCAGACUGCUGUCUGGGACUGUCGUUGUCUAUCAGAACCUCUCAGUGAUCCACUCCCACAGAUACUCAUGACGCUCGAUUUGCAGAAGUGAGGCGUGUGUGUAUCUGUGAGUACUCUGGAAAAACCCAGCUGGUGGUUGUGACCUUUUCUAGGUCAAGUACCAAGUUCUACAUGUAUGUGCUUAUUCGCAUACUUUAUUUGCACUAGAACAUUGUAAUGUAAAAAAUGUUACCAUGGCGAUCAUAAUCACUGAUGCUGCAAUCACAAUGAUUUUCAUGACAUAAUUUUAGAGCAAUAUCUACUAUCUUCUGCUUUUAUUCAGUUUGUAGUGAAUUGAAUGGGAGAGAAAAAUCCAUCAAAAUAAAACUGCGGCUCAGAUGGUAAAGAUUUUCAUUUGUGUAAACGACAUGAUCUCUGGACACAGACAUUCAACACAGUUUACCCUGCACAGGUGAGCUGUCAGUCAUACCCUGUCACUAUGACAACAGAUUUGACAUACAGAAUAAAGUGCUGUUUGUGUGGCAUGGAUGCAAUGGAGACUGAGAUGGUGGUCUAGUGGGUUAAACCACUGAACUGGUAAAUCAAAGGUUGCUGGUUCGAUCCCAGCAGCCACCACCAGUGUGUCCUUGAGCAAGACACUUUACUCCAUGUUGCUCCAGGGGGAUUGUCCCUGUAAUAAGUGCACUGUAAGUCGCUUUGGAUAAAAGCGUCUGCCAAAUGACUAAAUGUAAUGUAAUGUAAAUGCAAUGAUCUAUUUGAUAAUCACCUUCUGUUAAUCAUUGUAUCUUUCUGGCGACCUCUCAGGCCUAAGUGUGUCUCUGGAACGGCACUACAAGGGUUUAAGUCUAACCUCUCAGGUAGGUCAUUUAGAGUCUCCGGAGUGGCGAGGUCUAAACAUCCUAAAACCGGGGUACCUCAGGGCUCAGUGCUUGGGCCACUACUCUUUUCUAUAAACUGUACAUGACACUUCUAGGUUCGGUCAUUAAGAAACAUGGCUUUUAUAACCACUGCUUUGUGGAUGAUACUCAACUUUUUUGGUAGUUGGCUUCUUAUAAUGGAGUAGGCUUAAUGACACCAGUUUUAUUGCACUUAUGC